GAUGAACGCUGGCUACAGGCUUAACACAUGCAAGUCGAGGGGAAACGGCAUUUGGUGCUUGCACCGAAUGGACGUCGACCGGCGCACGGGUGAGUAACGCGUAUCCAACCUUCCCGUUACUGCGGGAUAACCUGCCGAAAGGCAGACUAAUACCGCAUGUUCUUCGAUGACGGCAUCAGAUUCGAAGCAAAGAUCCGUCGGUAACGGAGGGGGAUGCGUCUGAUUAGCUAGUUGGCGGGGCGACGGCCCACCAAGGCGACGAUCAGUAGGGGUUCUGAGAGGAAGGUCCCCCACAUUGGAACUGAGACACGGUCCAAACUCCUACGGGAGGCAACAGUGAGGAAUAUUGGUCAAUGGGCGGAAGCCUGAACCAGCCAAGUAGCGUGCAGGAUGACGGCCCUACGGGUUGUAAACUGCUUUUAUGCGGGGAUAAAGUGAGGGACGCGUCCCUUUUUGCAGGUACCGCAUGAAUAAGGACCGGCUAAUUCCGUGCCAGCAGCCGCGGUAAUACGGAAGGUCCGGGCGUUAUCCGGAUUUAUUGGGUUUAAAGGGAGCGUAGGCCGGGGAUUAAGUGUGUUGUGAAAUGUAGGCGCCCAACGUCUGACUUGCAGCGCAUACUGGUUCCCUUGAGUACGCGCAACGCCGGCGGAAUUCGUCGUGUAGCGGUGAAAUGCUUAGAUAUGACGAAGAACCCCGAUUGCGAAGGCAGCCGGCGGGAGCGCAACUGACGCUGAAGCUCGAAGGUGCGGGUAUCGAACAGG
rnacentral:rRNA from 1 species